GAUGAACGCUGGCGGCGUGCCUAAUACAUGCAAGUCGAGCGAACAGAUGAGGAGCUUGCUCCUCUGACGUUAGCGGCGGACGGGUGAGUAACACGUGGAUAACCUACCUAUAAGACUGGGAUAACUACGGGAAACCGGAGCUAAUACCGGAUAAUAUAUUGAACCGCAUGGUUCAAUAGUGAAAGACGGUUUUGCUGUCACUUAUAGAUGGAUCCGCGCCACAUUAGCUAGUUGGUAAGGUAACGGCUUACCAAGGCAACGAUGCGUAGCCGACCUGAGAGGGUGAUCGGCCACACUGGAACUGAGACACGGUCCAGACUCCUACGGGAGGCAGCAGUAGGGAAUCUUCCGCAAUGGGCGAAAGCCUGACGGAGCAACGCCGCGUGAGUGAUGAAGGUCUUCGGAUCGUAAAACUCUGUUAUUAGGGAAGAACAAAUGUGUAAGUAACUAUGCACGUCUUGACGGUACCUAAUCAGAAAGCCACGGCUAACUACGUG
rnacentral:rRNA from 1 species